rnacentral:rRNA from 1 species
AAUGAACGCUGGCGGCAUGCCUUACACAUGCAAGUCGAACGGCAGCAUGACCUAGCUUGCUAGGUUGAUGGCGAGUGGCGAACGGGUGAGUAAUGCAUCGGAACGUGCCUUUUAGUGGGGGAUAACGUAGCGAAAGUUACGCUAAUACCGCAUAUUCUCUGAGGAGGAAAGCAGGGGGCCUUCGGGCCUUGCGCUAGAAGAGCGGCGGAUGUCGGAUUAGCUAGUUGGUGAGGUACAGGCUCACUAAGGCAACGAUCCGUAGCGGGUCUGAGAGGAUGAUCCGCCACACUGGGACUGAGACACGGCCCAGACUCCUACGGGAGGCAGCAGUGGGGAAUUUUGGACAAUGGGCGCAAGCCUGAUCCAGCCAUGCCGCGUGAGUGAAGAAGGCCUUCGGGUUGUAAAGCUCUUUCGGCUGGGAAGAAAUCGCACUCUCUAAUACAGGGUGUGGAUGACGGUACCAGCAUAAGAAGCACCGGCUAACUACGUG